GGAAUAUUGGACAAUGGAGGCAACUCUGAUCCAGCCAUGCCGCGUGAAGGAAUAAGGCCCUAUGGGUUGUAAACUUCUUUUAGACGGGACAAAACCCCUUUACGUGUAAAGGGUUGAUGGUACUGUCAGAAUAAGCAUCGGCUAACUUCGUGCCAGCAGCCGCGGUAAUACGAAGGAUGCAAGCGUUAUCCGGAAUUAUUGGGUUUAAAGGGUGCGUAGGCGGACUAAUAAGUCAGUGGUGAAAGCCUGCAGCUUAACUGCAGAAUUGCCACUGAUACUGUUAGUCUUGAGUACAGUUGAGGUAGGCGGAAUGUGUCAUGUAGCGGUGAAAUGCUUAGAUAUGACACAGAACACCGAUUGCGAAGGCAGCUUGCUAAGCUGUAACUGACGCUGAGGCACGAAAGCGUGGGGAGCAAACA
rnacentral:rRNA from 1 species